rnacentral:rRNA from 1 species
CCAGACUCCUACGGGAGGCAGCAGUGAGGAAUAUUGGUCAAUGGGCGGAAGCCUGAACCAGCCAAGUCGCGUGAGGGAAGAAGGCCCUGCGGGUCGCAGACCUCUUUGGACGGGGAGCAAGGCCGCCGACGUGUCGGCGGAAGGAGAGUACCCGUAGAACAAGCACCGGCUAAAUACGUGCCAGCAGCCGCGGUAAUACGUAUGGUGCAAGCGUUAUCCGGAUUUACUGGGUGUAAAGGGAGCGCAGGCGGCGCGGCAAGCCUGAGAUGAAAGCCCGCGGGCCAACCGCGGGACUGCAUUGGGAACUACCGGGCUGGAGUGCCGGAGAGGUAGGCGGAAUUCCUAGUGUAGCGG